rnacentral:rRNA from 1 species
CCUACGGGUGGCAGCAGUGGGGAAUAUUGCACAAUGGGGGAAACCCUGAUGCAGCGACGCCGCGUGAGUGAAGAAGUAUUUCGGUAUGUAAAGCUCUAUCAGCAGGGAAGAAAAUGACGGUACCUGACGAAGAAGCCACGGCGAACUACGUGCCAGCAGCCGCGGUAAUACGUAGGGGGCAAGCGUUAUCCGGAUUUACUGGGUGUAAAGGGAGCGUAGACGGCCAGACAAGUCAGAAGUGAAAGCCCAGGGCUCAACCCUGGGACUUCUUUUGAAACUGCCGGGCUGGAGUGCAGGAGAGGUCAGCGGAAUUCCUCGUGUAGCGGUUAAAUGCGUAGAUCUUAGGAGGACCACCAGUGGCGCAGGCGGCUUACUGGACUGUACCUGACGUUGAGGCUCGACAGCGUGGGGAGCAAACAGGAUUAGAUACCCUUGUAGUC